rfam:Capsella rubella cultivar Monte Gargano unplaced genomic scaffold scaffold_3, whole genome shotgun sequence.
GGGGUUCAAGUGAUGAUUGAUAAUGCAUAGUUCAGAUGAAUAAAUACUAUGAUUAAUAUCUUCAGCACAGUCUUUCGCUCCUAUCUGAUGAUCCCC